CCUUUUGCAUCUGCUUUUAUAUUAUCAUCUAGCAGCUCUUUUCUUUUGUAUGUAGCGGUGAGAUCGAAUGAGAUGGCAGCUAAAGCCCUCUGUCUGCUGUAGUCUAUUAUUCUUAACCAGGCCCUCGAUCUGGCUCUUCUUCUAGCUUUGUAGCCGAUUAAGUCAGUUGUGGCCUUUGAUCUGCCCCCACUUCGUGGAAGAAAGCUUUGCAUUGCAAUAGUAGGUCGGUGAAUGUAACCUUAUUCCAGUGAAUUUCCUCCGACGCCAUUCCAGUCCCGAGGAUAAGAAGAGAAGGUCAAAUUCUUGCAUCCACAGCAUGCAUGUGACCAAAAUCUUAGGCCACAAGAGAAUUGUCACCAUCUAUAGAGCAGGGAAAAACUUUCCGUUG